GCGGGUAUAGUACAAUGGUAGUAUAUAUGCUUCCCAAGCAUGGGAUACGGGUCCGAUUCCCGUUACCCGCUCCA
rnacentral:tRNA from 3 species